CAAAUGUCUUGAGCGGUUUAAGGCUUGGGUCAUAUUUUUGGUGGAAAAUUGAAAACACCUCAUGAUUAUGAAGAUUGUAGAAAGAGGAAACUUUGUGACAUUCAUUUUACAAAUAAAGACCACAAUCGUAAUCAUCGGUUAAAUACAUUAGCAGUUCCAUCUGUACAUUUACCUAGUAGGAUUCCUGCUAUUACACAGCAAGAAACAAAUAUAAGCUCUGUUUCUGAAAGUUUAUCUACUGGGCCUUCAACUUCUUUCACAGUCAAUGCAACCUGUUAUGAGGCUGAAGCUGCCAUGCUGGAGCAUGAUUACUGUAUCACAUAUGAUAAACCAUCUGCAAAUCGUAAAUAUGGCUGUAAUCCAUAAAAUAUUUUAUGUAUAAAAAUAAUAGAAACGUAAAGGAAAACAUUAAAUUAUCCAUAAAAUGUAAUUAUAAUACUAUUCAUGAAGUUUAUGGUGACUUAACAUUUUUAGAAAUACUUAUUGGUAAUAUAAUUAUUGUCAACUACGGAAUGCAAUGAAAGGUUGAAUGCAGUGACUUAGAUACUAGGUUUUCUAUGAAAUUAGCAUUUUAUCCUAUAUCUAUAUAGACAUGUGAUAGUCUGCCAACCCGAGGGGCUGUAUCCCCUUCAUUGUGAAAAGAGACCCAUGCCUAAAUGUGAGUUAUAUAAAAGGUUUGUAACCAUAUGGAUGGUUAAUAAAUAUAAAUUUUCGGCUCA